CCUGGGCUUGUUCUGACAUGCUUUCCUUCUGCCUGUAGUUUUUUUCCUUUUGUACAAGGCAUAUUCUUGACGAUAGUGCUGCCUUGAAUGGGAGUAGAGCAAUUCUUAAUAAUUUUGCGAUUCAUUUAGUUCAGAGAGUAACCGCGAGGGGGACAGGUGUGUGACUUUAUGUCUUGCUGAACCAUUUUUUUUUUCCCUGUACAGUAAGACUUUGGGAAUGAAAUGCUACAAUCUCCUCUUGUCUAUGGUGUUUUUCUGCAAUAGUUCCCUACGCAAUCAUUAUAGUAGAAUAAAGGAAAUAAUCUAGGGAUAGUGAUUCAAUAAAUAACAGGUGCCCUGUCUAGAGCGUACGCGUCCUUGAGCCACGCACCUGCAUGAUGACCGCAUACCGAGAGACUAUUGUUUCAGGUUGACCUUGUCUAGAGGAGCAUUAGUGGAAAAAAACUGUGUAGCCCUGAGACAAUAGGAUGAUGUCUGGACCAAUGAGACUGGCCUGCAGGGGACGCAAGGAUUCACUUCUCUCUUGGACACUGGCGGAUGUAGACACGCCUCUCGCAGGUGGCGGUAGGAGCGCGCAGAGGGCGCUACGAGCGCGCGCAUGCGUAGCACCCGUAGAGUGGCGUUUACGUCAGUCCACCUCUGGCUCUCGUUGGGAGAAGACGUGCGGUCGUUCGCUCCGUCGUCACUUGAUCCCUGGCUGUCGACGAGAGCGGACGCUCCGUCGCAGCGGGGAAAAAGGUGAGUGAUUUACCGAUGUUUGCGCGUUGUUUUACCGUGCUCGUGUUAAGCCUUUUCUCGCAUGUUUAGACUUGUUUAGCGGUGUCCAAGCCUGUUGACGCACGUUUACCAUCGUGUGGUUCCCGCCUUGUGUUAGCCGCGAAGUGUUGUGACGCUGUGGUUAGGCCUUGUCGAUUGCCUUAAGCCUUUCCCCCCGAUGUGUAGUGUUUUCUCCGUGCUGUUUAGCAGUAGCGGUUAGGCCUUUUCCCCGCGCUCUGGCAUGGUUAGACUUGUCGAGCAGUGUUGCCAUUUUUACGUGUCGCUAGUACUUUCUUGUUCUCUGUGUUUCUCGUAUAGAGCUACGAUGCUGGCGCCAUCUGGUGUGAUGCCUUGGAACUAGCGUGCCACCUGCCUCUGCAACCGUCGUGCUCCAGUCGCCCGCACCGGCGUGAUUUCUUCAAGAUGGCGUCGUUGAUUUUCAAAUAAAUCAUUUCCCACUGUCU